rnacentral:rRNA from 1 species
GAUCAACUUGUGAAUAUGUUUGAAUAUGUAGGGAUGGCCGCGGGGGUCAAACUCCUCGACCUCCCUUGUGCUGGGAGUGGGUGCCACGUUGUGUGCUCCCCUCCCAGCCCAACCCAAACCCCGGCGCUUAAUGUGCCAAGGAACUAAAAUUGGUUAAGUGCGCCCCUGCGGGCACUGGAGACGGUGACCUCGCAGGAGGUGUGACGCAUGAUAAUAUAAACGACUCUCGUGAAUUGCAGAAUCCCGUGAACCAUCGAGUUUUUGAACGCAAGUUGCGCCCGAAGCCAUUAGGUUGAGGGCACGUCUGCCUGGGCGUCACAUAUCGUUGCCCUAUGCCCAAUGCCCAUUGAUAGGCACUGUGCAGGGCGAAUGUUGGCUUCCCGUGAGCAUUGUUGUCUCACGGUUGGUUGAAAACUGAGUCCUUGGUAGGGUGUGUGCCAUGAUAGAUGGUGGUUGUGUGACCCACGAGACCGAUCAUGUGCGGCUCUACUGUCUCUGGACUCUUUGACCCACUUGCGUCCUUGAACGCUCUUGAA